rnacentral:miRNA from 1 species
GACCGGAAGGGUUUCCUUCCGGUCGAUGAGGUAGAUGUACCUCAUCAAUCGGAAGGGGUUCCUUCCGGUCGAUGAGGUACAUGUACCUCGUUGACCGGAAGGAAACCCUUCCGGUC